AGAUUGAACGCUGGCGGCAUGCUUUACACAUGCAAGUCGAACGGUAACAGGCCGCAAGGUGCUGACGAGUGGCGAACGGGUGAGUAAUGCAUCGGAACGUGCCCAGUCGUGGGGGAUAACGCAGCGAAAGCUGUGCUAAUACCGCAUACGAUCUAUGGAUGAAAGCGGGGGACCGAAAGGCCUCGCGCGAUUGGAGCGGCCGAUGUCAGAUUAGCUAGUUGGUGGGGUAAAGCCACAAGGCGACGAUCUGUAGCUGGUCUGAGAGGACGACCAGCCACACUGGAACUGAGACACGGUCCAGACUCCUACGGGAGCAGCAGGUGGGGAAUUUGGACAA
rnacentral:rRNA from 1 species